rnacentral:lncRNA from 1 species
UUGCGACGCACUUCAAUCUGUAGUGAGACAGCAAGAGAAGUAUUGGAUGGUGACAAACUGACAAUUAUACUGAGAAAACAAGUAAAAUAACUGAAGGAUGAUUAGCAGCACCAACUUUGAAGCUAUCAUGGCCUUCUCUUUUUUUAUCAUUGUAAGCUUUAGCCAAACUUGCUGAAGUCAGAAACCUUGUGGCUUGUAUCCCACAUUGCAAGGCUAUGCCCGAGCAUGCAAAUAAUACAGAAUGUCCUACGCAAGAUAUAAAUUUUAAUCAUCUGCAACAAGCAUCAUUAAAUAAGAUAAAUAUUUUAAAACUAAGAAAAUUAGAGUAAGACAGCAUAGUCACCAUCGGACAAAGCAAGGGAGACAACAGUUCUAGAAAUUUUUGAAGUGACUUCUUUACUGAGCUCACUCCAAACACUUCGGCCAGAGUCACAAAAGCUGUCAAUCGGUUCUUGCGAAUUGACAUCUCUAUGUGAUUCACCUAGUUAAAAAGAACAUGAUAACACACAUCUGUGAGUGCCAGCCCCAGUAGAGCUGUAACAAAAACAUCCGUACUGAACGAAGUGCCGGAGGCAGACCUGAAAUCAACACGCCAGGCGUCGUUCUAUUCCUCUUCGAGCUUUCUGCGGGAUUUUCCGUGAGAUCAUCAUCGGCAACCCUCUUAGUUUGCAGCAUAUUCCCAACACUGAAGCAGAACAGAAUAAACCCCAAAUGUUCAGUCAUCAAUUAACCAGUAUGCACGGUUGUAGAGCCAUCACGGAUUAUCAAUUAGAUGGUGUGCACGUGCAACCAAAAUUCGUUGAGAAGCUAGUACAUACCUAAAUCUGGGUCGGGUGGAGCGCCGGCGGCGGAGAAGACGACUGUCCGCGAUGACGCCGGCAGCUUUAGGUUUAGGGCACGGCGGCGGUGGAAUGCAGGAGAGAUUCACAGCAGCGUUUGGAUUGGGAGGGGUUGGAGGUCGGAGGUCGCAGCACAAGAGUGGCAGCGUGGGAGAGGGAGAAAAUACGGUCGCCUCUCGCCCGGCCGCCGGCUGGGCGCCAAUGCCGCUAUUCCGUUGAGUUGUGUUGAGCCCACGUUGCCUACGUUGAGAAUCGGAAAG